GAGAGAGAGAGAGAGAGGGAGCUUCUUAAGAUGACAACAAAUAACAACAGGGGCAAGCAUGCCACGGAUACUGAGAUGUGUCAAAAGAACUACAAUUAACUCGCAGACUGCUGCUUAUUAUGUAACAAUUUUAUGCAUUCCUAAUUUCUAAUUCGCAGAUUUUCUUUGACAUGGAUAAUUUUUUUGCAAAUGAAUUUCGAUUUACUGGCACAAACUACUACUGGAAUUUUGCCAGCUUAAAAACGACAAAAGGGGACUGCCAUGCCUCUCCUCUAUCCAGUUUUGCGUGAUACAU